AUUGAAAGGAGGCAUGGGCAGGCUG
rnacentral:piRNA from 1 species